rnacentral:rRNA from 1 species
AUGGGCGGUAUUAUUGCUAGACGAUUAAGUAUGAACCGUACUAAGGGUCCCAUCUUUGGAGGCAUCUAUGAUACACGCCUAGCUGCACAUUUUAACAUACCUAUUAGGCAUGCUGAGAAGGAAGAAAAGGUGUUGCCCCGUGUUUAUCUAGAUCAUAAAAGUAUGGUGGCACACGAUUUUAUUGUUAAGAAUAGGGCAGGAGAGCUUAAAUAUCAAUUGUUCUUUAACAAACAUCAUCCUGAGACUAUUAUCCUGCCUGCUCCUUCUUUGUUUGAUUUGACUGUAGGCACGUACCUUGUUCCGUUGACGGCUAUUCAUGCCUACCGGAACCCUGCACCAACCGAGGAGCCAGAACCGGGACCAUAA